rnacentral:lncRNA from 1 species
GUCCAGUUCAUUUAUUAUUAUCUCCCCUCAUCCCCACACUGCACUUGCCCAGAGUGGGAGUGUGGAACCAUGCCAGGCUCCUUUCCUGGCUCAGUAUUUGGCACAAACUGGUGUUGGAGAAGUGUAUGCUGAACCAACGUGAGCAGGACGUGCAGAGAACUUCAGUGAGUCCCAGGAAAUAAAAGGACAGCGUGGCUGGAGUGAGCGAGCGUACAGGAUCUUGCCAUCCAUGGGAGGAAGAGGAAUGGGAACCCAGAGAAGCAUUGUAUGAGAAAGAUGCUCAAAUGUUUUCAAAAGCCACUGGCGGUAGUGCAGUCAGUUUGGAGGGGGCCUUGUGGGCAGGGAAAGCAGUGAGGAAGCCUUUGAUGAGUGAGGGCAGAGGAUGGGCUUUGCAUCAGGAAGGUGCCUGCGGAGGGAAGAACUGACAGGAUUGGGGGGGGGGGGUCAUACGGAUGCGGGGUGGAAGAGGAAAGCCAAGUUCAGCUAUGGCUGCCAGGCUCUGGCUGGAGUCAGGGACAUGGAUGACAACGCCAGUCACAAGAAGGGGCAGGCAUGAGGGGAGAGCCGGAUUUGUGCAGGGAGGUGGGGAGUCUGAGAAUUCAGAUCAUGAUGGAAUGAAUCUGAGGUGCCACUAUGACAUCCAGUGAGGAUGGCAGGUGGGUGGCAGGUGCAUGUGCAAUAAUCGGGGCUCAGGAGAAAGCUGGGCUGGAGCCUGGCUAGGGAUGAGGUCACCUCUAGGUGUGGGGUGAAAAGGCUCUGUUCAGGGCAGAAGACGAGCAUGGGUGAGAGGGAGAGACACACACAAAGUAGAAUGGGUCAUCCAGCCUCUGAAGGUGCACCCGGGGGAUGUCACUGGCCAACAUCGCAGAGGGGGGCCAAGGAAACAUGCUUUGGAUUUAAAGAUUGGACGUCACAGGUGGUCUGAGUGCGGCCCUCCUAGAAUGCUGCCAAGCACCGUGGAGGUGAGCAAAUGCCGGGACUUCCUUUUGGGAAGCCUGGCUGUGAAGGAGAGAGACCUGGAGGGAAGCACUGGGUUGAUGGGGCAGAGAGGGGGGGAUCCCUUAAAUGGAGCCUGUAACACAUUCAUCGAACCCUGAGCAGACCAGCUGGGAGGAAGAGGCUGUUCCCUUGAGAGGGAUCCUAAGACAUGAGGUUCCUGCUACAGCAGUGGGAGGAGACAGGACCCAGAGCCCUGGCCAGCAGCUCUGCCUGGCCCGGAGGGUGCAGAGAGGAACAGGGAAGGACAGGCAGGUGUAACGGCAGUUGGUGUCUUUUCUCUGAUGAGGGCGGCCCCUCUGCUAAGCGGGGGAGAACGAAUGUCCACGAUGUGAGGGGAUGAAGGCUUACACUAGGCACUGUGGACAGGAGAGCUGGCUGCCCAGAGGGACACGGUGCCACUGCCGGGGACUGGGGCUGGGGCUUGUGCCAGCCAACCUAAACACAGUGGAACCAGCCCUGCUCUGGCUCACAGCAGCCCUCGCUGCUCAGAGCCACGCUAAGCUGGGCGGCCGGGUACCAGAGAUAGAUGAUGGGCUUGAGCUUUCAGAGGACUGGCCUGAGGGUCCUUAAAAUACCAGGCCGUGCUGGCUGAGCUGGCACAGAUGAGGCAGGGGAGAGGGUGAUGUGGCGUUGGCAGACUGCCAUGCCCCACGGACUCCCCGGGAGCAGCAUCAGGCCAGACCCAUGUACAACCCCAGGAGGCCCCUGAGGCACCCUCAUUGCACAAACCAGGGUCUCCUGACCUGAGACCAAGGCAGAAGCCAGCUCCCAGCCCCCUCUCCAGCCCCUGGGCCGCCCAGCUCCCCCGGUCAGGAUGGCACUGAGACAAACACACCGUCAACGUUUAUUGUUGUACCCCCCCCCCGCCCCCACUACAGACGGGGCUGGGGGCUGGGCCUCCACAAGAAGCAGUCAAUGGGGGGCCCUACCGUGGCCGCCCUAAUGUGCCGGCAGCCUGUCAGGCCUCCCCCCAAGCUUUCCAGGUCCAGAAAUCCUCGCAGGGCCUGGGCCUAUGUCAGACCUGGGAAAGCAGCCUUUGGGGAGGAGCAGGGUUGGUGGGGAGAGGUCCUGUGAUGGCCCAGAACCUGCCAAGUCCAACACCAGCAUGUGACAGGUGGGGAAGUGAGCCAAGAGUGUAGACCCGCAGGGAAAAGUGCCGGGGAGUCCGAAGGUGGCGGAGGGCAGGGGCGAUGAGCUGCAUCUUUCGGGCACUGAGCCAGAAGGGGGUGAGAGGGAGACUUCCAGGGACGCCUCCCUCCUGGCUUCUGGAAGGGGGAGGAGGGGAGGGGAGGGGCUCUGGGCAGUUGGGGGGCGAGUCCUGAACAGCUCCGUCCCCCUUGGGCCGGGGGGGGCCUUCAGGGCAGCUGGGCUUGAGGGGGGCCUCAGGGCCUGGAUGGGUCCUGUGGGCCCCCCGCCUGGGUCUGCCCUGGCGAAGAAACGGAAAGGGCCGCAGCCUUAUAUCGGCCAGGCCCUCACUGAGCCUUUUUGGUCACCUUCUGGCUCUUCAGCAUCACGGAGGUGAUGAACACUCCUGGAACACACGGGCCAGAAAGGCCAGUUAAGGUCCUGGCUCAGGGCUGCUGGGAGGCCGGAGCAGGACAGAGCAUGACAGAGGGACCCGCAGGCGGGGCCAGGCACCGACCCAGCCACCCUCCAGGUUCCCCCGGUCAUCUCCCAAGUGGCUCGCUAAGCCACACCCCCACCUAUAUUCAUUCAACAAACAUCAGCCGAGGGCUGACCACAGGCCACCUGCUGGAUUUGUGUUUCCGAUUUUACAGGGAAUAAGAUCCACCCAACCAUCCAUCGACUCAGCUAGUCAACCAUCUGGCCACCUACCUCCCCAGCUGCCCACUCAGCACCUACCAUCCACCUACCCCAUCAUCCAGACACCUGAUUGCUGACUCACUCAAAUGACUUUUUUGAGCACCAACUCAGUGCCACAGCAUGUGCUGGGCACUGAGGACACAGUAAUGAUGAAGAUACAGUCUUUGGCCUUAGGAAGCCCACACACUAAACCCUGGGAGUCAGAGGGGUGCAGGAAUCAGAGGCCAAAGUGACAAGGGGGUGAGGGGUGAUGGUGGUGGAAGGAGCAGGAAACAAGGAGACACCCCAUUAGAGUCCAGUGAGCCUGAGGAUCGAGAAGCCUGCAGCCCUGAGGGAUGAACACGGAAACCCCAGGGGGUGAACUGAGGGCAAGGAGCCUCCAGCAGGUGUACCGCAGGGGCCAAAGUACAGCCGCAUGUUCAGGUGUAGGAGAGGGUCAUGGGGUCCCUCAGACACCCCGCCCAGGGUUGGGAGAACUUACCCACAAAGAGGAGCAGCAGGAGGCCGGCGGCCAGCGGGAUAGCAACAGCAUAGGCCCGGGGCAGGAAAUACUUGUGGAUGACAUGCUGACUGUCAAUGAAUGGCUGGCACAAGGGCAGAGCUCCGGUGAGCAUGCCUGGCUCUGCUGAGCGCCCCAAGCCCAAACAUCCCACCUCCUCUGUCUCAGGGGCUGACCCCGUCAAAGCGCUGGGGCUGCAUUUGCUUUUCUUUAAGAUGAUGGCAUCUUGGGUGCUUUGGUUGGUUCCCUUCCUUCAUUUUUCUACAAGUGGUAUACUAGGUACUUCCCUGGUGCCUGCUCUAAGCUGCUGCUGGGGACCUGGCUUAAGUCCCCCACAGCUUAGCAGGGGCAAAGGGUACAUGAGGAAUCCCAAUCUGGGCUCCAAGAUCUUUUGUUUUUGUUUUUGUUUUGCUUUUUAGGGCUGCACCCUCGGCAUAUGGAGGUCCCCAGGCUAAAAGGCAAAAAAAAAAAAAAAAAAAGAUUUUGAUUCCCAAACACACUGCACAUUUUAACACAUUUUUCCCCCGGGGGGGGGGGGGGAUAUCCCAAAGACCCUCACAAAACCCAUUGGCACUUGUCAUGCCCAGGAGCCCGCAGGAUAACCAGAAGGACUAGAACUCCCAUUAAAGGCACAGGACCUUACAGUGUAGUGGUUCAGGAUUCUACCUUAGGUCUGAACCUUCUCCUUGAGCCUCGGCUUCGUCAUCUAUACAAUGGGGACACCGCUAGUGUCGUCCUCCUACUGCUGCUCUGACGCUUUCAUUACAUGGGCAGGUAGGCCUGUCACGUGCUUAAAUGUUAGGAGUUGGCUUCAAGAUCUAGGGAUAGGAGGUGAGAGCGGACGAGGAAGCACACAUACCAACAGAAUCACCCAGGUGGUGUAGUACGUGAAGAUGAUCAGGCUAACGGCGACGAGGCCGAGUCCCACCACCUGGUCUGUCCCUGUGGCCUGGAGAAAAGGGAAAGCUCAACUGAGGAAGUGACCCUCCAUUUAGGUGCACUAACGGAGGGGGGAGUUGCCGCCUGAUUACGCCCAUUCACUCAGCAGGCGUAUCCGACGUGGCUGACGAGGUUUCCAUUUCCUGGCUUGAGACAGAGUGCAGGCUAAAGACCUACCACCCGUACGAUGGGCCGGCGGGAGAGUGAUCCCGGCUCCCGAGAGCUCAAGCCUCAGCUUCUGAGUAGACCUAGGACCCCACACCCAGACGCCCUCAUUCCCAGGACUCCCAGCCCCAAGCUCACCAUUUCCCCAGCGCUCCAGGCACCGGAGCCGUAAGCCACAUCCGGUUCCGCAUCCGGGCCCUCCUGGCC